rnacentral:rRNA from 1 species
UCGAUUGAGUUUGAUCAUGGCUCAGGACGAACGCUGGCGGCGCGCCUAAUACAUGCAAGUCGAACGGACUGCUUUCGGGCGGUCAGUGGCGGACGGGUGAGUAACACGUGGGUGACCUGCCUCCGAGUGGGGAAUAACGCUGCGAAAGCAGCGCUAAUACCGCAUACGCUCAGCAAUUCAAUUUGCUGAGUAAAGCCUAGCGCGCUUGGAGAGGGGCCUGCGCCCGAUUAGCUAGUCGGUGGGGUAAUGGCCUACCGAGGCGACAAUCGGUAGCUGGUCUGAGAGGAUGAUCAGCCACACUGGGACUGAGACACGGCCCAGACUCCUACGGGAGGCAGCAGUAAGGGAUCUUCCGCAAUGGUCGCAAGACUGACGGAGCGACGCCGCGUGCGCGACGAAGCCCUUCGGGGUGUAAAGCGCUUUUCCCAGCGACGAAACAAGACGGUAGCUGGGGAAUAAGCCUCGGCUAACUACGUGCCAGCAGCCGCGGUAAUACGUAGGAGGCAAGCGUUGUCCGGAAUCACUGGGCGUAAAGAGCGUGUAGGCGGAAGGGCAAGUCUGCUGUGAAAGCGCCUGGCUUAACCGGGCGAGGUCGGCGGAAACUGCCCGUCUAGAGGACGGUAGAGGGGGGUGGAAUUCCCGGUGUAGUGGUGAAAUGCGUAGAG